rnacentral:rRNA from 2 species
UGGGGAAUAUUGGGCAAUGGGGGAAACCCUGACCCAGCAACGCCGCGUGAGUGAAGAAGGCCUUCGGGUUGUAAAGCUCUGUCAUUAGGGAAGAAGAAGUGACGGUACCUAAUGAGGACGACCCGGCUAACUACGUGCCAGCAGCCGCGGUAAUACGUAGGGGGCGGGCGUUGUCCGGAAUUACUGGGCGUAAAGGGGGCGUAGGCGGCGUGUUAAGUUGGAUGUGAAAUACCCGGGCUUAACCUGGGGGGUGCAUUCGAUACUGGCAGGCUAGAGUGCAGGAGAGGGAAGCGGAAUUCCUAGUGUAGCGGUGAAAUGCGUAGAUAUUAGGAGGAACACCAGUGGCGAAGGCGGCUUUCUGGACUGUAACUGACGCUGAUGCACGAAAGCGUGGGGAGCAAACAGG